rnacentral:tRNA from 1 species
UGCGGGGUGGAGCAGCCUGGUAGCUUGCUGGGCUCAUAACCCAGAGGUCGUCCGUUCGAAUCGGACCCCCGCUACCA